ensembl:lncRNA
AUAAGAGUGAGGCCCUAAUCCUAUAGGACUGGUGUCUUUACAAGAAGAGGAAGAGACACCAGAGCUGUUUCUCUCCAUGUUCACAGAGUAGAGGCCGUGUGAGGACACAGAGAGAAGGUGGCCAUCUACAAGCCAGGAAGAGAAGCCUCAUCAGAACCAACCCUGACAGCACGUUGAUCGUGGACUUCUAGCCUCCAGAACAAUGCUGUUUCAAAAUUGAUUAGUUCUCCGACCCGCCCACUGAACUCACCCAACCUAUUGAAGAAACAGAAUGGGCUGUGGAUUAUAGGGUUUCAGAUAAUACCAAGUCCCUGGUGAAAGAUGUUUUUGAUAUUCCUGCUCUACACAACGGAUCCUACCAAGGAAGAAGCACUGAGGAAAUGUGACAUGAAUGUCAGCAAAAUGUACCAUACUAACAGUUGCAUCUCAAUUAAGAAAAAAAUAGAUCACCAACAUGAACCUGCGUGCUUCUGGAAGAACAGGGAUGAUCAGGAAGCUGGGAAGAGAAUCCUUCAGAUGGGGAAACGGAAGCCCAAAGAACUGAAAGAACCUGCCCAAGAUCACACAACCGUAAGUGAUAAAGCCAAGAUUUGAAGUUAAUCUAGUCUUACUGUAAAACUUAAAACAAGAAAAGUGUGAGGAAGAAAGUACAAGCCCACCUGCAGCCCCACAUCCAGGGAUGAUGAACAUCAGCACGUUGGUGAUGAUCCUCCUUUCAUCUGUCACAGGCAUUGACUCACGUUCGUAUGAUUUUACCUGAAUGGAAUAAUAUCCUGUCAUACAUGAUUUAUUUUUUAAAUAAGGACCUCUUUUUCUUUGUUUUACUAACCUCCUCCUUUCCAUUCCCACGCCCCCAAACACAUUUAACAAACUAGUACAUAUCCUUUUUUUAAGUUUACAUAUAUAAAAUUUUAAAAUAAAUGCUUAUAUAUAUACACACACAUUUACAAAUAAGUGUAUUUAUAUACAGAUACGGGGCUUUUUUGGGAAGCUAUUUUUUGUUUUACAAAAUGGGAUCAUAUUAUGCACACUGCUCUGCAUCUUGCUUUUCUCAUUGAACAAUAUCUUAGAAGUUUCUGACGUCACCUGGAUUGAUUUACCCCACUAUUUGUAAUGGUUGCACACUAUUUCAUUGUGUGGUUAAUUUUAUAACUCCUCUAACAACAAAAUUCUGCCCAGUUAAUAUUUUCUUUCUACAGAUGUUUUAGCCUGGUUUUCCCUCCAAAGCAAAGUCCGAGACAAGGGCUUGCGUGCAUGCAAUUCAUUAGGGAAGGGAGCCCGGGGUCUGGGACGAGAGACUGGGAAAGCGAAACGCACAAGGCAGCACAGCCAGUGCCAAGGGGCUUCCUUGAGCCGGCGCCUGCUGUGGGCCGCCGGGUGCGCCCUCUCUGAGACGCCUUACCCAGCGAGACUUAGAACUCUCGAGCGUCUACGGUCGGGCCCACACGACACGCGGUCAGCAAUUACGCCUCAAGGAAAACGGCCUGUCGUGCUGCGCAUGCGCCGCUGCAGAGCAGCCUGGGUAGACCGGAAGCCAGUGCCGGCAGGCGUGCUUCCGGUUCGCUUGUGCUGGGCUGGUCGCCAAAGCAGUGGCUGCAGUGAAAGUUGGACUGAGAGGAAAGGAAGCUGCUUCCGAUCCGGAAAGUCGCACGCGCUUUCUUCUGGCUUUCCCUAUCCUGGAGAUCCACGGGUUUCAUGCAAGGGACAAACUCUUACCCUUUGGUCUGACAGCAACAAUGAUAAGAACG